rnacentral:rRNA from 1 species
GGCCUACCAUGGUGGUAACGGGUAACGGGGUGUUAGGGCACGACACCGGAGAGGGAGCCUGAGAAACGGCUACCACAUCCAAGGAUGGCAGCAGGCGCGCAAAUUACCCAAUCCCGACACAGGGAGGUAGUGACAAUAAAUAACAAUACGGGGUUCUUUCGGAUCUCGUAAUUGGAAUGAGUACAAUUUAAAUCUCUUAACGAGGAACAAUUGGAGGGCAAGUCUGGUGCCAGCAGCCGCGGUAAUUCCAGCUCCAAUAGCGUAUAUUAAAGUUGUUGCAGUUAAAAAGCUCGUAGUUGAGGUAAUUCCAGCUCCAAUAGCGUAUAUUAAAGUUGUUGCAGUUAAAAAGCUCGUAGUUGAAUUUCGGGGUUAGUAGGUUGGUCAUGCCUCUGGUAUGUACUGGUCUCACUGAUUCCUCCUUCCUGAUGAACCGUAAUGCCAUUAAUUUGGUGUUGCGGGGAAUUUGGACUGUUACUUUGAAAAAAUUAGAGUGUUUAAAGCAAGCUAACGCUUGAAUACAUUAGCAUGGAAUAAUGAAAUAGGACGUUCGAUCCUAUUUUGUUGGUUUCUAGGAUUGACGUAAUGAUUAAUAGGGAUAGUUGGGGGCAUUAGUAUUCAAUUGUCAGAGGUGAAAUUCUUGGAUUUAUUGAAGACUAACUACUGCGAAAGCAUUUGCCAAGGAUGUUUUCAUUAAUCAAGAACGAAAGUUAGGGGAUCGAAGACGAUCAGAUACCGUCGUAGUCUUAACCAUAAACUAUGCCGACUAGGGAUCGGAUGAUGUUAAUUUUUUAAUGACUCAUUCGGCGCCUUACGGGAAACCAAAGUGUUUGGGUUC